GCACUUGGAGGACGAAAACCGAAGUCAUGAGCGGUUGCCAUGUUAAAUGAAUGUGGGGCAUAUUAUGCGAAUAGUUCGAAGUAAAUUUUGAUAAUGACAUUAUCUACUUUAAGGUCUUGACUAACUCAUGUGCCAGCAGUCGCGGUAAGACAUGGAAGGCAAGCGUUAUUCAUCUUUAUUAGGUUUAAAGGGUACCUAGACGGUCGAUAUGAGCCCUAAACGGGUACUUAGUUGACUAGAGUUUUAUGGAUGAAAUUUAGAACAGUGAGUGUAGGGAUAAAAUCUUUUGAUACCACUUAGAGACUGGUUUAGGUGAAGACAAUUUUCUAUAAAAAAACUGACGUUGAGGGACGAAGGCUCGUUUUAAGAAACAGGAUUAGAUACCCCAGUACUCCGAGCAGACAAUGAUGAGUGUCAUAUGUAAGAGGUCAAUCCUUUUAUGCAUAAAUGAAAGUGUAAGCAUUCCACCUCAAGAGUAAUAUGGCAACAUAUAAACUGAAAUCAUUAGACCGUUUCUGGAACUCGGAGUGAAGUAUGUUAUUUAAUUUGAUGGCCCACAAAGAACCUUACCACAGUGUGUAGAGUUAUAUACUUUUGUUUAUUUCCGACUGGCGUUGCACGGCGGUCUACAAUUGAGAUUAAGAGAAGUGGUUAGCUCCAUAACUCACUGUAGUCCCUAACUUUAUUUCGUGUAGAGCGCUGCUAUCGUAGACAUGAUACGAAUUAGGUUCCUUCCUUCUCGGCUUAAUGUAUGGCAUACG
rnacentral:rRNA from 1 species